AAUAGUGCGACCUCUCGCUUGUGACCUCCGCCGUCCUUUCCUAGUACACCUAUAUGACCUAUUCCUUGACCUCGGCCCUUUCCCUACUUCCCUAUGAGACUAGGGCAUGCGACUCACUCUGAUAUGUCGAACCAUCUCUAUCCUCCGAGCCUCUCAUUGAACAGGGCAUCCAUGACCAUAUCAUGUCAACUUCCCAUUCGGCGCUGAAUUGUGAGAGAAACCACCAAUGUCUCCCAACUCUCUGGUAAGGAAAUCAGAAGCAAUAAGCCUGAAUCCGUCGUCAACGUAGAAAGUCAACAAUGGUCAACUAAAUGACCAAAUUCUGGAAUCACCCGAUGUUUCGCCAAAUGUAGUCUCCCUCUGAAGCUUCAAAUUCACAAGCCUCCUCAUAAAUAAGGCUUUGUUCCGAGAUGUCUUCGCCUGAUAAAUAUCAUCCAACUUGAUCCACAAAUCAUAAGCACUCGCUCCGUGUACCUGAUGAAUACCUCGUAUCCAAUAGCACUAUCUGAUUAGCCAAUCGUCUUCCUAUUCAUCUUCAUCCAUUCUUUCACCUUCUUCGCUAAAGGUUUUUCGAAUGUAUUUUCCAAAGGGAGUUGCAAAUCCAUUGCCAAAAUAGGAUGUCCUCCAUCCUCGUUACAUAUGGCAUAAUUUGUCGCUGAAAGUACAAUCAUCGAACCCAAAUUAUGCUCCACCAUCUACUUCUCCUAAAUAGAAGCAAAUCUCUGAAAACCAACCCAGUGAUGAAUCGGAAUACCGAGAAACCUCAGAAGGGCUAAAUGUCAAAAUCAAAAAUGGUUAGGACCAAAACUGGUCAAAAUUAGAAAGUCUGAGGCCAAAUCGACAAAAUUAAAAGUUCUGUAGCCAAAUGACAAAAUUAGAAAAACUCUUGGACCAAAUUAAAAAUAUCAAAAACUCAGGGACUAAACUAUAAUUUCAGUAACCGCUAGGACCAAUCUAUAAUUUACAGAACUCUAGGGACCAACUAUAAUUAUCAAAAAAUUCAGGGACUAAAAGUGUAUUUUGCCUAUAUUGAACUAAAAGUGUAUUUGACUAAAAGUGUAUUUUACUAAAAAUCCAACGGUCAACAGGUCAAAGCCAACUGUCAAUGGCUGACUGGGCGCUGACGGUGGCACGUGGCUGAGACUAAUCUCCUCGCAGAUAUUCAAAACGGAGGCGUGAGGGCGCGUACGGAUUCAUGUUUUCGACGCGUUUGGUGCUAGAGCUCAGUAUCGACGAGACGAACAACCUGGUGUAAUCAAAAAAUAAUUUUGAGCACUUUACGGACACCCAAAUUGUGACAGGGACUCCGAGUCGCCUCCACCUAAGCUCUGAUAACAAUUGUUGUGCUCAAAACUCAUUACGGAUCACACACACAAAAAAACAAUAACGAUUUCGUGGUUCGGCCAACGAUGCCUACGUCCACGGAGAGAAAUCACCAAUCCACUAUUCGACAGAAUGGAUUGCAACGGAGGAGACUCGAUCGUCAACUACACCCUCUCUCACAAUCUCUCUCUGUCUUGCCUCUCAAUCUAACCUCACAAGCAAUCUGCUCUCAGACCAAAAAACAAGGCACGUAGAAAAUCUAAACACCUACCAUCCCUUUUAUAGACCAAGGGAAGGAGUUGGUGGACUCCUACCAGAAACAGAAUCAUUAUCCUAAUUUAUCUUGAAAAACAAAAAGAUAAAGACUCUCCAGAGUUCUAGAUAAUUCGAGAGUUUCACCGUCACAUGGACACUCCAUAUGAACUCCAAUCGAUUUUGGGCUUGACUACUGUACUUAAACUCAUCCAAGUGGGCUUGGAUUCAUCCAGAUGGGCUGGACUCAACAUAUGAAAUCUGCAUUCUUCAUCUUUUCUUCUAUUCCAGUAGAAUCUUCAUUUAAAAAAAAGUAUCGUGUCUCGUGGCUCCAAAGUGGUUCAUGAGGCGGAAGGUUUCGGUUCGUGGGCUCACAGAAUGACUUUCAUUCAGAGUAGCAAAGCCCAAUUAGCCCGCCCCAUAGAAAAGGUUUUAAGUUUGUAGACUUUGUGGAUGUUCUUCCAAUGGAUCCAAAAGAAAAAUGGUUCUCUAGAUUUGGUUUUUUUAAGUUGCACAUAUUGGCAUCAAUUUCUAGUAAACUCCAAUGUUUAAUUUGUGACAAUGGAACCAUUGGGUCAUAUACAAAGUGAUAAAAAAAAAUUGUUAUAAAGAUUAUGAUUGGAUUGGGCCACCACGUCAUCAAGCCCUAACCAUUCGUCACUCAUUUAGGCUGACAUAAAGAAGGCCCAAAAUAAUUCCCUACCUAUCUAUUCUACUAAAUGAAAGAGCAUCUCUCCAAACUUACUCUCUAUUUUUGCUCUUUAGACAGAAUAGAAAAUUUAAAACUGAAAAAAUAGCUACAGCUUCGUAUCCAACCCUCUAUUUUGGUAUUGUGAAUAUUGCCUCUCCUUGUGGAGAGGGCUGUUCACCCCCUAUAAAUUCCCUUUUUUGUAUUAGAUAUCGUGCAAUAAUAAUACUAUUUUUA
rnacentral:lncRNA from 1 species